rnacentral:lncRNA from 1 species
CCCCCAAAGAAGGCUGACACCAAGGCUCAAGCCUUGAAGGUUGCCAAGGCUGUUAAGUCUGGAACCACCAAGAGGAAGGCCAAGAAGAUCCGCACAUCUGUGACGUUCCACCGGCCAAGGACCCUUAAGAAGCCAAGGGACCCCAAGUACCCAAGAAUCAGUGCACCUGGGAGGAACAAGCUUGACCAGUACCAAAUCCUCAAGUACCCCCUCACGACUGAAUCUGCGAUGAAGAAGAUUGAAGACAACAACACCCUUGUCUUCAUUGUUGACCUUAAGGCGGACAAGAAGAAGAUUAAGGCAGCCGUCAAGAAGAUGUAUGACAUCCAGGCGAAGAAAGUCAACACUCUGAUCAGGUAAAUUGAUCUGUCUUCCAUGUUUUGUGAGAAUGCAAAUUGCCAUGUCUUGAGUGAUAUUCUGAGUAAUUUCUUGUUUCACAGGCCUGAUGGGAAGAAGAAGGCUUACGUGAAGCUUACACCAGACUACGAUGCUCUUGAUGUGGCCAACAAGAUCGGCAUCAUCUAAAUUUUGUGGUUUUGUGUGUCAGUGUGUUGCAGUUUCUGAGUUUUGGUGGUCUAGGUCUUACUGUU